rnacentral:tRNA from 1 species
GGACCCGUGGCCCAAUUGGCAAGGCGCUUGACUACGAAUCAAGAGAUUCUGGGUUCGAAUCCCAGCGGGUUCA